rnacentral:rRNA from 1 species
GUGGGGAAUAUUGGACAAUGGGCGAAAGCCUGAUCCAGCCAUGCCGCGUGUGUGAAGAAGGUCUUCGGAUUGUAAAGCACUUUAAGUUGGGAGGAAGGGCAGUAAGUUAAUACCUUGCUGUUUUGACGUUACCGACAGAAUAAGCACCGGCUAACUUCGUGCCAGCAGCCGCGGUAAUACGAAGGGUGCAAGCGUUAAUCGGAAUUACUGGGCGUAAAGCGCGCGUAGGUGGUUUUGUAAGUUGGAGGUGAAAUCCGCGGGCUCAACCUGGGAACUGCCUCCAAAACUGAAUGACUAGAGUACGGUAGAGGGUAGUGGAAUUUCCUGUGUAGCGGUGAAAUGCGUAGAUAUAGGAAGGAACACCAGUGGCGAAGGCGACUACCUGGACUGAUACUGACACUGAGGUGCGAAAGCGUGGGGAGCAAACAGGAUUAGAAACCCCAGUAGUCC